GUUCGCAUAGCUUAACUAGGUUAAAGCACCCGACUCAUAAUCGGAUGAUUGGAGGUUCAAGUCCGCCUGCGAGCACCA
rnacentral:tRNA from 1 species